AUUGAACGCUGGCGGCAGGCCUAACACAUGCAAGUCGAGCGGAGUGGCGGACGGGUGAGUAAUGACCAGGAAUCUGCCUGGUAGUGGGGGAUAAGGUCCGGUAACGGACGCUAAUCCCACAUCCUAUUAGAUGAGCCUAGGUCGGAUUUGCUUGUUGGUGGGGUAAAGGGCUACCAAGGCGACGAUCCGUAACUGGUCUGAGAGGAUGAUCAGUCACACUGGAACUGAGACAGGGUCCAGACUCCUCCGGGAGGCAGCAGUGGGGAAUAUUGCACAAUGGGCGAAAGCCUGAUCCAGCCAUGCCGCGUGUGUGAAGAGGGUCUUCGGAUUGUAAAGCACUGUAAGUUGGGAGGCGUUACCCACAGAAAAAGCACCGGCUAACUUCGUGCCAGCAGCCGCGGUAAUAC
rnacentral:rRNA from 1 species